AACGCGAAGAACCUUACCUACCCUUGACAUGUCUAGAAUUUUGCAGAGAUGUGAAAGUGCUCGAAAGAGAACUAGAACACAGGUGCUGCAUGGCCGUCGUCAGCUCGUGUCGUGAGAUGUUGGGUUAAGUCCCGCAACGAGCGCAACCCUUGUCAUUAGUUGCUACGAAAGGGCACUCUAAUGAGACUGCCGGUGACAAACCGGAGGAAGGUGGGGAUGACGUCAGGUCCUCAUGGCCCUUAUGGGUAGGGCUACACACGUCAUACAAUGGCCGGUACAGAGGGCUGCCAACCCGCGAGGGGGAGCCAAUCCCAGAAAACCGGUCGUAGUCCGGAUCGCAGUCUGCAACUCGACUGCGUGAAGUCGGAAUCGCUAGUAAUCGCGGAUCAGCUUGCCGCGGUGAAUACGUUCCCGGGCCUUGUACACACCG
rnacentral:rRNA from 1 species